GGAGGUAAUGUCGAUGCCCUGCGAAAAGUCGC
rnacentral:scRNA from 1 species